rnacentral:rRNA from 1 species
UACGUAGGCAGCAAGCGUUGUUCGGAGUUACUGGGCGUAAAGAGUGCGUAGGUGGUGCCCUAAGUCUGUUGUGAAAUCUCCCGGCUUAACUGGGAGGGUGCGGUGGAAACUGGGGUGCUUGAGUGUGGGAGAGGGAUGCGGAAUUCCAGGUGUAGCGGUGAAAUGCGCAGAUAUCAGGAGGAACACCGGUGGCGAAGGCGGGUCUCUGGGCCGAAAUUGACGCUGAGGAGCGAAAGCGUGGGGAGCAAACAGG